AUCUAUCUGUCGAGUUCCAAACAGGACAAAACGCGCGUCAAACUGGAU
rnacentral:hammerhead_ribozyme from 1 species